AGACUCUAUUUUUAUUUUACAAAUAUUCCACUUAAUAGUGCAUGAACUUAACUGCAGACAAAGAGACAGAAACAGAAAUGAAGGAAUUCCUGAACUCCCUAGCACAGUUAGAAAGACAUUUGUCUAAACGACUCCUCUAAGGGCAAACAUACAUUAAAUUAAGGAGAAGACAUUAAGAUUUGGAGUGGUUUUCUUAUUCCUUUUUACAACCAAGUUAAGGUGUGAGUUGCCUAUGGUACAAUGCAUCCAUUUCAAGUUUGAUGACUAUUACUCUAAAAGGUCCUCUUGUGCCCUUUGCAGUCAGUCCCGCCCUCCCCCUGGCCCCAGCAAUUAAUGAUGUAUUUUCUGUCACUAUACAGGUUAGUUUUACCUGUUCUAGAAAUUCACCUUGAUGGCGCCACACAGGAUGCCCUCUUUUCAUCACUCGGCAUGAUGUUUUUGAGCCAAAUUUCUCCCAUUUGGGUUAAUCGCAGGAUCAGCACGUCCACAGUGCAAUGGAAAAGCAACGCCCUGGGAAAACAACCUUCAUAACGUCCUCUCCGAUGCCAGCUGGCCAGGACUUAGUCAGUAUCUACUGAAACCUUGAAUAUCUUGGCUGUGUUAACUGUUUUGACCCAA
rnacentral:lncRNA from 1 species